rnacentral:lncRNA from 1 species
CGAACAGGCUGAGUGGACACGAAUGAACGCGCCGCGCGGGACGGGUAGAGCCGAGCAGGGCCGAGUGGAGCUGACGAAACAGGUGGUGCUGAGGGUGACCUCAGGAGCUUACUGUUGUCACCUGUAAAUGAGGGAAAGGACACAGGUGACGCCCAGCUCUUCAUUUUCUAACGUGGAUGGGGCAGUUAAUUUUUCAGCUGUGAAAGCAAGGAGUAUUAUGACAAUUCCUGGUGUGUUUCAGUACCCUCAUCUACUCAAAGAGCAAGUCACACAGUUUCAUUCAGAAGCCAGCAAUGAGAGGAAUUCACAGCAGUGGAGAAUGUGUCCUGUGCUUUCCCACACUCCCAGGAGAUGGAUAAUGAAUUCUCAACAUGCUGUGGAGCUGGAUCGCUACUCAAAGAUGCAGCAACCUUUGUCGAAGGGCUCUUCCUUGCCCUUUGUGGCUCUCCAGCAUGGCAAAGUAUGUAUUGCAUGA